GGGUGGGGAAGUCAGGUGGCGGAGGGAGGAGAAGCAUUUGUUGACAUGUGAUAAGAAAUAUGUAACGAAAGAGCUAUAGAGCGGCAUACACUUUUUGUUGAAGGUUGAUAAUGUCUAACAAAGCUGGAAGCAAUGCUCCCACUUAAGAACAUGUUCCUUUUUACCAUUGCUAUGACAAUUAUAGUGUUAUAUUUUGUAUGGAGCUCUCAAGGCAAGGAGUUUGGGAGACAUUAUGAUCAUCGAGAACAUGUAUUCCUGUGCCACAUGUCAUUUGAGGACAGCAGGAAUAAAAAUGUGGAUAACAUACCCACAAUUUAUUUUAUUACACCCACAUAUCCAAGGAGGGAGCAAGCAGCAGAACUUACAAGGUUAGGGCAAACAUUGAUGCAUAUACCUAACCUGCAUUGGAUUGUUGCUGAUGAUAACAUGGUUUGCAGUGCAAUGAUAACAAAACUCUUGAAAAAAUUUGGUAUUCCUUUCACCCACAUUGCAAGCCCAAUGCCAGAGGUGUAUCGCAAAGCAGAUAUUGUUCCAAGAGGUGUAGCCAAUAGACGAGCUGCACUCAGCUGGAUAAGAAAGCAUGUGAAGAAUGGUGUGAUAUAUUUUGGAGAUGAUGAUAAUACAUUUGAUUUAGAGCUCUUUGAAGAAAUUCGUGGUACGAAGCGAGUUUCAAUGUUCCCAGUUGGUCUCAUUGGUGACUAUGCAGUUAGUUCUCCUGUGUUAAGAAAGGGAAGAGUUAUAGGAUUUUUUGAUUCAUGGCCAUCCAAGAGAAAGUUUCCAGUAGACAUGGCUGGAUUUGCUGUGAAUGUUGAGUUUUUAUUGGAACAUCCAAAUGCAACCAUGCCAUACAAAGCUGGAUAUGAAGAGGACCACUUUCUUCGAAGUCUUCACUUAAAAUUGGAGGAUAUCGAACCAAAAGGAAACUCGUGCACUCAGGUUCUUGUGUGGCAUACACAGACUACGAAGAAAUCCCGAUCUGUGAUAAAAAUUGGAAGCUAUCUCGAUACAAACUUGAAACUACUACUAGAGGAACUUCGUUAUCUUGGAAUGGGUGAUGUUAGUUCAACAAAAGGGGCAGCAGCCUACUUAACAAAGGAUGGGCACACACAGACGAUAUAACCAUUCCUAAUGUGUUUGCUAACUUUUGACACAUUAUCUGCACAAAGUUAUGACUGCAAUAACACUCUGUUGCAGUCUUAUAUCAUAAAUAGUGGCUCAAUCUAGAACUUGUCAUUUAAUGUAGCGGUAGACAAUAUUUAUGAUUAAAUAGGAUGACAUUCUCAUCGAUUGAAGUAUGGUACUGAAUUUGUACAAAUAUUAUUUAUUAAAAAGAAGUAGAUUUAUUCCAGUUUAGAUAUUUGAAAUGGGUGAUAAAUUAAGUAAUUAUAAGAUUUUUGAGAAUUCAGAAUAUUUCAUAUAUCUGAUUUUGAUCGUUUUUCUAGUCAUACAUUUCAGCGGCAAGGAGUUCUGAUAAAGAUAUUGUUCAUUGGUAGUCAUGCUUUUGCUGAGGGAUCUACCGACCUAUUUCAUAAGAAAAUAUAGUGAUUAACUAUAGCUGCAAUAUUAAACUUCACAAAGACAUUUGAGAUUAUAUAUUUUAAGUAGACUGUUAAGUUAAUUUAGCUUUUGGUGCAACUUUUAUCUUUCAUAGGCAUUUGGGGUAAAAAAGAAAAAGAAAUUUAUUUCUGUGUGAGUCAAUUCAUACAACAUUUGCAGUGGGAUGAUGAACAUAGAAAUCAGAAUUAAAGGAGUUAACACGGGGUUUACAUCUGUCCUUGUAUUGCAUAAAUAUUAAGUUUAAUAGUUCCACACAAGAACAUAGAACAAAACGUUGGCAACAAUAUCAGACAUCAUACCAGGAUUUAUCAUAACUGUCUAAGGGAAAACACAGUAUUUUUCAAUCAGGUAUGGAAUAUCAACUAAAACAAUAGCAUUUUCUCUUUAAACAUUGUGUGAAAACAUGUCUCUGUUUGCAGUGCCUCACAAGUUCCUGCAUCUACUUAAUGAUUGUAUGAUUAAAGCACAGUCAGGAUUUCUAUGUCCUUACACCAUUAAAUUAGGAUUAAACUAUUUAUUUAUAUGUACAUUUAGUUUUAUAGCUCUUAUUAUUGAAGCUUUAAUACUGUUUGCAAUACAGUUGGUUAUUGAUACACCCAGGACUUGGGAUUUGAAAGAGAUAACUACUUCACUUAGCUUUCAGAAAAAGCAUUUAGUCUUCAUUUUGAGGUUUAAAAAUAGGGUCUCAUUACCAUUCUGCAAGAAUUAAGAAACACAGAUUUGUAUUGUGUAUAAAUAACGUAAUUUAAUAUCCUGACAAAGACACGGUAAAACUUGUGUGGGAUGAUGUCUUAAUGGUAGGGAAACAAAACUAUAUUUCUAUGUUGAAUGCAAUAUCGUAUGUUGGUUGUGUUGAGAUGUAAGAUUUAAAACAAAAUUGUCAAUAAGCACAAGAUUAAUACCUCUUACUGCUAAAUUACUUUAUCAGACGUUGGUACAGUACGAGCAUUGUAAUUGGCAGGGGAUGUUAGAAGUGAAUUUAAGCGAUUCUGCCUACCCCUUCACUCUCAGAAUAUCCCUUUUUAUUGCCAUUGUCAAGGACGUUAAACCCAAAUCUUAAUUCCUUGUGGUUUGACAAAGAGAAAGUAACAUUCAAAAUAUAAUGAAAUUGACAUAUCAUUUUGUGUAUUUCCAGUGUGGUUUGGUGUCUAAAACUUCAUUAGUCUAGGAUUAAAGCCUUUCAGUAGUCCUGGGGUGUUUUUUCACCUUUGCUUCUUUCACCUCCUGCAGUGAUUUGGAAGUAUGAAAAAUACCAAGUUGCUCUAUGGUUUGGAAUCCAUGUUAAACUGUAGGACCUCUAUAGCUGACCAAGUCCGCUCAAAGGUCAGAGAAAGGCAAGAGCUUAGCACCUGCAAUAGCACCAUACCCAGUGUGAAGUACUAUGAUUUUGAAAUCACAUUUACAUUUUUCAAACUACAAGUUCAGCUCAGAAUUCUUGCUACAAAGCAACUUGUCAUAUGUUGUAAGGUUCCCUUGUGAGUGUUUUUAUUUCCUUUAGUUAAUUUUGAUUUAUCUUUGGCUCACAUCUGUUGCUGAUUUAUCUCAGCAUCAUUACAACAAAGUAAGUUUAAACAGUAGUAUUUUUCAAGUACGUGAUAGGAUUUAAUUUGACUGCCUAGGCUGUGCAUAAUGUCAUCUGUAUUAACUGUAAAUCUUCUGCUGUUUCACAGUUAACAUAUUUUAAAAUUUUUUAUUUCAUGCUCACACUGUACUAUUACUGUCUGCCAUAUUAUUUGUCAUGUAGUAUUAGGUUGCUGCGAUUUUAAAUUGUGUCUUCCAUAUUUGACUUCAUUUUCUGUACGUUUGAACCAUUUGUACAAAUUAUGCAGUUUUCAAGCUCUUAUGUAUUUACUGUUUUUCAUACCAGCUUUAUGCUUUUUAAAUUAUAAUUUUUAUUUACUGUAGAUUACAUUUCAUUUUUGUAUAUUUAUUGAUAACAUAAUUCAUAUUCUGUUAAUGCUAAUAGUAAUACUUGUACUAUUGGAAGCAACAGGAUUUGUUUCAUUAUUACUCAAUAAAUUGCUAAGCUGUAAUUGUGAAAAUGAACGGCUGCACAAACAUUUCUUAACAUAUGAGCUGAAAUAACUGAAAUAAUAGCCAGAGGACAGAGAAAAUACUAACUGCUCUUGAUAACAUAAAGGCGAUGUCAGUAUUUUAUCAACAUAUUCAGAGUGUUUUCUGAAUAUCAUUCAAUCCUCAUGUAGCUGAAGACUUUUACUGUGAAUAGUAAAAUGUUCACCACAGUUUUGUAUAAAUGUUUCUAUUUUGAAUGUUGAAAAGUUUCCCAGGUAAUUAUACAUAUUGAUGUCACAUAUCGACAGUUAAUAUCAAGUUACUGAAUUUAGGAUAAUGUAAAAAGAGUAGCAGCCACUAUGUAAGUUUGUAAUCAGUGUUUGCAAUUUAUUGCCUGUAUGAUGUGGGGAAUUAAACUUUAUGUUGAAAAUUUUCCCCAAGAAAUUAUACAUAUUGAUGUUACAUAUACAUUCUUAACACCUGGUUAUUGAAUUCAGGAUCUGUUAAAAAUAGUUGCCUCAGUGUUUGAAAAUUAUUGCAUACAUUACUUUCCCAUGUUAAGUGUUGAACAUUGACUAUAUUUAAUCACAUUAGUGGAGUAGGGGCAAUAACAGCUGUGAUAAAUCCAAAACUUUUAACUUUGAUCUUUUUUUUUUUUUUUGUACUAAGUAUUUUUCAGCUAAUGGAGUUGGUACAUUGUUGUAGGUUUAAUAUAUUCACAAUGCUCACAAUUACUUUUAUGGAUACUGUCUUGUAAAAAGAAAUGUGUAGUGAAAAAAUAUUUAUAUGGAAAAGUUAAGGAAAUUGUUCGCAGUAUCAUUGUUCACAAUAUACUGUGUAUUGAUAAUAUAAACUGCAUUUUGGCACAUGUUUGUUGCACAAAUCCCCUUCAGCCUCAAGUUCCUUCAUUAAAUGAAAAGACACAAAGCAGUUCAUUAAAAUGAUGGUACUGAUAGAAUUAAAGCUUUAAUUAUUAUGAGAAUUGUUUCUUAUUUUACAUGGUUUAGUGAAAAUGUGUGCAACACUAGAUGGGACAAACACAGCAGUAACUGAGAUAAUCAUUAAUGAGACUCUACAUGUAAAUUUUAUGUACUGCUUAUGGUGAAAUAUGGAAAUAAUAUUCCAUUGCUAUUUGCCUUAAAAAGUGCCAUUCAAUGUGUGUGUGCCAUAAUGGUUCUUCAGUCUUCAAAAUGUGUGUUUAAGGCUGUGUGGAGUUGGAGGCUAUUUGAAAAAUAUUGUAGCAAUGCAUUCUUGUAAAUUUUUUAUGUAAAUGACAGUUAUGAAAUAUUUAUUUACUUGUAAAUAUUGCUCACAUGCAAUAUAUUUGCAAAGUAGUGAACACUACAACCAUUUGUUAAAAUGUUAUACAUUCCACAUUGACAAUA